CAAGUCUCUGAAAGACAAAGAAUGGAAGAGCUAUGUGAAGGAACAUGUUUAAAUACUGAAAGAAUAUGACAUAAAUGUGUCACAUUAUUCAGCUUUAAGAGGUUAAAAAAGAAUCAAGCUCACAAUAUGAAUUUACUUGAGAUGCAGAGUCUUGAGAGUGGCAAAAAUGAAAACUUUAAGGUCUUCAACACCAGGCUGCAGGAAGCUUACAAGUGAUUUUUAAACACAACUAAGUAUUGGAAGUAAAGUAAUCAUGAGAGUACUAUAACGUAUAUAUAUUGCAAAGCUACUAGUACUGUGAGAUAUUUUAAAUACCCUGCAUAUACUUAAAAAUAAUAUAUUUCAAAUAUGUUUCAAAUGUGUUUGAAUAGGUCAUAUGUUAUAUAUAAUAUAUAAGAGAUAUUCCAUACUAUUUGACAUAUUUGACAAAUAGGUUUGUAUUUUUUUCAUGCUAUGUGCAUGGAAUCUACUGUUUCCCUGUGCAGGUAUGUUGAUAACUGUGUCUUCUCAAUCCAUUCGUCUUAGACUGUAUCAAGUAUGAUCCACCGACUUAAACUGAGGUCUCGGUGAUCCAGUGAGUUUUCUGAAGACUGGCAUUGAGCAGAUGUCACUCCUGUGCUCAAGAAUGUCAAGAAGUAAGAUUUGAGAAAAUACAGGCCAAACACCCUUAAGUCAGUCAUUGGGUGAGUGAUGGAACAACUGAUCUCAGAAAACAUUUACAAACAAAUGAAGGACAAAUAGGUGACUGUCAGCAUGAAUUUACAAAUGAAAAGUCAUGCUUAACCAACUUGAUGAUCUUCUACAAUUCAGUGAGUAGCUUUGAAGAUGAGAGCAGAAAAGUGUAUGUUGCUUAUCUUGCCUUUAACAUUGUCUUUGACAUGUCUCCCAAAACUUACUCAUAGAUAAGUUGCUUAAAUGUACGUUAGAUAAAAGGAUAGUGAGAAGGAUUGAAAACUGGCUGAACAAGGAGGCUCAGAGAAGUUGUGAUAUGUGGAAAAAAUCCAUUUGAUGGCAAAACAUAAGUGGUCCUAUAAUGUUCAAAAUAUUCUUCAGUGAUUUGGAAAGAUAAGACAGAAUGUAUCUUCUGAAAGAUACAAAACUGGAAGGAGUGGCUAAUAUACCAAACAAGUGUGCUAACAUUUAGGCAAAACAAGGCAGGCUGAAGAGCUUAGCAAUGAGAAAUCUCACGAAGUUCAGCAAAGGGACAUGAGAAGUUCUGCCUAUGGUGAGGAGCAAAGCUAUAGACUAAUAGGCACUGGGGCCAAAUGGAUGAAAAGAAUCGUCACAGAAAAAGACCUAAUAUAAGCCAGCAAUAUAUCCUUGAAGAACGACCGACAAACAAAAAAAUAAACAGCACUCACUCUUGGCUUUGUGAAGGAGAGCACAGCCAGCAGAUGAAGACUGGUGAUCUUUCAUCUCUGCUCAGCACUGGUGGGAUGCUAGUUUCAAUUCCCCAUGUAGAAAAUGAUAUAUUAUAGCAUACUUUACUACUUUAAAAGAUGCCAUAAUUUCAAAGGAUUUUCAACAUCACUAGAUAGUAUUUCUUUUUUUCUAAUUCUUUGGGUAUUUAAAAAAAAAAUAAUUUUUUAGUCAUUCUUGAGAGACUCACCCUAUUAACCAUAUAAGUUGUCAUUUGCCCUUGGAAUUGUGUAUUCUUCAGCUGUGUACAGAUAUUCAGCAUAUUACAGCAUUAUGGUUACAGAGCAAACCUGUAUAUUACUGAGGACAAAGCUUCUUUUCUAAUGGUAUCUAAUUCAUACUGACAAUUGCAGGUUUACUAGAAGUGUUUAAAUACCUAAGUACUUCACUGUUCUCACAUAUCAAGUUUUUACUGACAUGAACGCUUCAAUUGCUUGAUGAAAUAAAUUAUCUGCACAAACUGCACCUACAGAAUUGAGGACAAAAAUAUAUGUAUGGAGAUAUACUACAUUGUUGAAGUCAUAAAAUUAUUCCAUUGAUUAGCAGAUGGUGUAAGAGAAACUGUGUUUGUUUUCCUGAUUCCAAACUUGAAAUACAUCAACUGUUAAUAAAGCACAGAGUACCAUGGACUGAAUUAUUUUCAGUAAAGAUCUAUAAAGUUAAGACUUCUGACUGCUAUUUCUACAGUUUAGCUGGAUUUGUUACAUUUCUCUCUUCUUCUUUCUAGCCAUUCAAAAAUAGUCAAAUAAAAUUUUUGGAGUUUUGACUUGACUUACACUUGCUUCUAAGCACUUACUGAGUGCAAUAUAAUACUCAGACAUGUAUGUAGGCAGUUAAGACAAAAUAUUUGUAAUGUGGAAUUGAAGGCCUGACAGUUUCUCCUUCAAAGAAACCUACUACAUGUUUUCUUUGAAGACUGCAUUUUGCGGAAGACUGAGAAAUACCUCAAAAAAAUAAUCCAGACUGAUUUAAGGCUGCAUAUCUGCCAAACACACUUAGGGAUUCUUCUUGAACAGACUGCCCACUCAGUAUUUACCUAUGCUUUUAUCUUGGUGGCCUUACAGAUCUCUGAAUCUUGUAUCAAAACACCUUACUUUUCAAAAGUGAAAAUUUUUUGUCCAUCUCUUUUUUCACAAAUAGGACAUGAAAUCUCUGAAGUGGAAAGUCUACACUACUCAGCCUUAGGGAGAAGAUACCUGUGUCAGGGGCUCGUCUAAAUAGUUAAUCACAAGGUACUCUGAAUGAGCUGAAUUUUCUAAAUUUUCUGAAGCUGAGUGUCUCUGCAAAGUCAGUAACUAGAACUCUGAGUGCAAGAGAGAGAGAAAGCGUGUCUUCAAAAGGAAAGAAUACUGGUAUACUGAGUUUAGUACUACUCUUUUUUCCAGGACUACCUCCAUUUUUUCACCUCUCACUAUCUAAAAUGAGAUGUGUUUGAAUUCCAAAGAAUGGAUCUGCAUACUGGAGAAAUCUCCCUCUGAAGUGUACCUCCAUGAUUACAGUCAGACACUUGUUUCCUCACUUCUUUUCCAGGACAUUCUUGCAUUCCUGGCUAUGCAGCAGCUCAGUCUCAAGGAAGUUCACCAUAACUGGGCCAUGAUCCUGCAGAAAGGAUCCAACACUUGGCUAACACUCUCUAUAAUGGUGAACGAUCCUAACAUUAUUGACCACUAGCACCACUUCAUUCUGGUAUGUAAAACAUACACGGUCUUGCAACAGCUCUCUUUGCAGGAAAAGAUCUCAGCAAUUCAGAGAAAAAUGAGGGUUCCUUUGCUCAUAACUGAUGGUUGCUUUGUUCAUGAGCUGAAUUUUCUCAUUGUAACUGAAUGUUAAACACUGUUUUUACUGUUUUUUAUCUGUGAAAUACAUGUCUUGUCUCAAAGCACAUGAAAAUGAAUAUGUUCCCAUAUUAAGUAUAACCUCUCUGCUGUUCUUUGUUAUGAGCUAUACUUGUGCUGACUAUCAUGCAAGACAUAAGCAUUAGCCAUAGCAGCCUUUUUGCUUAAAUGAAACCAACAGUAAUAUUUUCAGAGAGCUUAAGGGAAUGGAUUUAUGUUAUGGUUAAUGGACAUGGAUUAGACUGAAAAUCUACUGCCUUAAAGAAGAGAGAAAAAGACAGACAGACAUUGGAUAAUAACACUUAACAGUUUGUGAGGCUGCUGUGAAGCUUCAUUGGACAUGUUGAACAUAAUCUUUGGUUUCCAAACUGGAGAAAUAAUUGACUCAUAAUGAUCUGGCCAGAAUGAGUAUAGCAUGUAAAAUGUAACUAUUAUGAUUAUGAUCAUUAUUGCUUAUUCACAGCUCUGAGUGCGAGUCAUCAUUUGAUGAAAGGAAUACUAACUCCCGUGCUUUUCUCUGUUCUUCUCUUCUGUUUGUCUUUAUACUUUAGCACUAAAAUAGCUUUAAGACUCACCUUUAACUUUGUGUUAUGUUUGUUGCUGGGAAAUGAAGCACGAGUAUUUAACCCUUUAAGAGAAUUGUAUGUACAGUUACAGAAAUUAAUACUGUCAUUGGUCCUCAGUGGUGUCCAAGAAAAAAGGAUUUAGCAAGUGACUUAAAGGCAGGCUCUCUUCACCAAGUCAGUCACUGUGCUGAAUUGUUUUUUGUUGAAUUGUGUUUAUAGCACAAAUUGUAUGUAGAUAAAGAAUUGAAAACAUUAAUUCACAUAAAACACAGAGAAAAUAUUUCACAGAAUGCAUUUUUCUACAUAAUCAAAACUAAUGUAAUGAGCAGAAUUAAGUUGAUUUAUAGCUUAUUUACAGUAGUAUUAAGUGUUAAGAGAAUGUGAUUAAAAUACAUGACAAUUUAAUUUUAGUAAUUUAUUUUACUACUUAAAUAUUAACAAAAUAUAAACAAACAGGAAACUGACAGAACACAAAGCAUCUUUUUUGUCAUUGUCAGUGGGAGAUUCUAUUACUCUGAUUUUUUUAGAUAUAUAAUUUGUGUUCUUUAGCAACAACACAAUAUUCUACUGCAAAUUAAAUCUGGAAUAUGAGAGUGAAGAAACAGUUCUUAUUCCUUUUCUUCAUACCUCUUCCCUGAUAGUAAAUAUUACAGAAGACAAAUGCUUUCUUAAAUUACAAUAUUGUCUUUCUUCUAUUUUGUUAAUUGUUCUUUGGUUUUCUAGUAUAAGUUUAUGCCUUCAAUGGGGCUACAUGGAUUUAUGUAUCCAGGAUAUAAUUUGUAAACUUAAACUGAAGAGUGAAUCUGACACGGUAAUUUAAUGUUGCAGAUUGAUAAAUUAAAAAAAUAUAUAUCCUUUUUUUCAGAGCUUUCUGCUUCUAUCGGACUGUCACUAGUAUGAAGUAAAAGCUAGUCUAUAUCAGUAAAUGAACAUUAUACUGUAUAAACACAGGAAGUCAGUGCACUGAAUAAAACAGGGGCAUUUUAUAGUUGGAUACAUUAGAUUUGUAGUUUAGACUUUUAACUCUAUGUAGGUCAAUAGUAGCAAUUAGUUCUACUCCAUUAUAUUCUUAUAGAGAUUUGCUAAUCAUAAUAUCUGAGUGCAUAUUAUUAUUACUUCAUGGUACACUGUGAUAAACAUUGGGCUGAUCUGUUUGCCAUCAUCUUUGCAAUGUGAAAAUAUUGCAUGCAAUGCACUGUUGUGGCUAUUGUUCUAAAGUCUACUAUUAUUAUUACAGGAAUAUAUUAAGUUAAUAUAUAAUUCCAACUAGACAAGGCAAACUGAAGAAACAUGCUUUGUAGUUUGUGAGGACACAGGGGAG